rnacentral:rRNA from 1 species
UCGGUGUUCGCCUAAGCCAUGCGAGUCAUAUGUUCGUAAGAACAUGGCGUACUGCUCAGUAACACGUGGAUAACCUGCCCUUGGGUCCGGCAUAACCCCGGGAAACUGGGGAUAAUUCCGGAUAACGCACAUAUGCUGGAAUGCUUUAUGCGUAAAAUGGAUUCGUCUGCCCAAGGAUGGGUCUGCGGCCUAUCAGGUAGUAGUGGGUGUAAUGUACCUACUAGCCUACGACGGGUACGGGUUGUGAGAGCAAGAGCCCGGAGAUGGAUUCUGAGACAUGAAUCCAGGCCCUACGGGGCGCAGCAGGCGCGAAAACUUUACAAUGCGGGAAACCGUGAUAAGGGGACACCGAGUGCCAGCAUCCUAUGCUGGCUGUCCGGGUGUGUAAAAUACACCUGUUAGCAAGGGCCGGGCAAGACCGGUGCCAGCCGCCGCGGUAACACCGGCGGCCCGAGUGGUGAUCGUGAUUAUUGGGUCUAAAGGGUCCGUAGCCGGUUUGGUCAGUCCUCCGGGAAAUCUGACAGCUUAACUGUUAGGCUUUCGGAGGAUACUGCCAGACUUGGAACCGGGAGAGGUAAGAGGUACUACAGGGGUAGGAGUGAAAUCUUGUAAUCCCUGUGGGACCACCUGUGGCGAAGGCGUCUUACCAGAACGGGUUCGACGGUGAGGGACGAAAGCUGGGGGCACGAACCGGAUUAGAUACCCGGGUAGUCCCAGCCGUAAACGAUGCUCGCUAGGUGUCAGGCAUGGCGCGACCGUGUCUGGUGCCGCAGGGAAGCCGUGAAGCGAGCCACCUGGGAAGUACG